rnacentral:rRNA from 1 species
CCUACGGGAGGCAGCAGUGGGGAAUCUUGCGCAAUGGGCGAAAGCCUGACGCAGCCAUGCCGCGUGAAUGAUGAAGGUCUUAGGAUUGUAGAAUUCUUUCACCGGGGACGAUAAUGACGGUACCCGGAGAAGAAGCCCCGGCUAACUUCGUGCCAGCAGCCGCGGUAAU